CUGACUACUGGAGGUACCCUGCUAGCUCCUGAGGAGGGACAGCCUGCAUGCCUGGAUCUGGAGGCCAGCCAAGCCAGGAUGCACCUGGAUGCCCAGGUAGAGGAUGUCACAGGAGGGGAAGAGGACCCCCUGAAGUGGAGAACCUGGCGUUUAUGUGCUGUGAAAGAUGCCAUAUCUACAGUCCUACAAGCUAGAACCAUCCAUUAAUUCACAGAACCGCUUGAACGCGGGCAUGAGUGCAUGCUUGCCUCAAGUUAAUGUGCCUCCACCUUGACCUUGAGAGUCCACCUCUAGGCCCAUUCCUCCUUUGGCUGCUCUGAAGAGAGACUGAAGACAAGGGUGUCAUUAUGAUGGUGACUUCUGUCAUGUCAACACUCUUCCCAAAAUGAACAGCAACUUAUUUUACAUGGUCCACUAAACCGCCACCAAUGUUUGGCUGCUUGCAAGUGAAAAUGAAUUCUAACCAGCAACCUAAAAGGUCCUGUAUCCCAUUACUAAUUCCCAGAAGUUGUUCAGUCCUCUAUCCCCUUUCUUUUUCUCCUCUCCAUUUUCUUAUUACACUUGUGAGGGUUGCUCAAAACACCUGAAGAAAAAUAAUGGACUAUUUUGCUAUCAGAGGUACAGACUAGCAAGAGCAGCAGGGUUUGCAGGAGAUGGUCUCAAUAGUUGGGGAGGAAAUUGGAGAGGGGCAAGAGGAGGUUUGGUGGAAACAGAUCUAGGCACCAAAUCUGGUGUGUGGGGGAUCUUUGCUGUCAUCUGAUAUCUUCACUGUCUGCUUAUAAUACAAAGCAGUCCUGCAGAUCGCUGCAAAGCUAUUUGUGCAGUUGCCAGGAUUUGGGAGAGGGGAAGAGUGUUCUAGGGACUAUUCACUUAAUAGGCUGACAUUCUGGGAGCCCUUAGGUUCCCAGUGACCAGGAAGCUUAUAUGUGCAUCCUGGCAACCUUUAGGUUAUUUUUUUUAAAUAUAAAUCUUAAUUAUUGGGGGGGAUCAAAGCUGACCCCACCCAUAUGGAACCACUAAGUGAUCUUAUAAGAAUACCUGAACACCAGUGGGAAAAAGGUUUAGGGGUUGGAUAAGAAAUCUGAAAAUGCUUAUCUGAACCAAAGGAUGUUUCCCACGGGCCCACCUCCUCCCCGCAUCCACCACUGACAACCUCUGUUCCAUACCGCCUGUAGCUGUCUUCUUGAUUCCCUGCCCCUUCUCCCAGUAAUGCUGUCCCCCAUUGAUUCUCUGCAUCUCCCCAAAAAGGCUUGCUCCCCAUUAAAUUCACUGACUUCCCCAGAUCCUAGGAGGUGAUGAAAUAUGGCCCUAUCCUGUGUGCCACUCACCCUCGUGCAUGCAGCUCAAGGGAUGGGGAUUUGAAGGCAGCUAGUCUGUACAGCAGGAAGUUCAGCAUGGAAAAGCAGCUGAGGUAGGCAGAGGGAGUGCUCAGCACGGCAGCCUCUCGUGGCAGGACGACGCUAUUGCAACAACAACAAUAACAGCAAAGCCUCAGGCUGCAGAGGCAAAGUUAGCAAGACUGGCUAGGACAGGACAUCUGGCAUGGGUUCCCAAAACCUGGGACAGUCCCUGCCAGAACUGAACUACUGGCAGCUUUUUGCUAAUAUAAUUGCCUAAAAUCUUCAGAAAUAAUGACUCAGGAAAAAUGAUUCAACAGCUCUGUACACAUUGUUGGGUUGGUAACAAUCUAUUUCAAUCUGUACCUGCACUUGCCUGUAAUGUAACUUGGGCUGCUCCAACCCCUGUGGUCUGAUUGUGAGAGCAGUUCAGUCUUCACCAAUGAUUGUGAGAUGGCCAUGAGCAGCACAUUAGGGCUCGUCACAGAGACCUGAACCUACAAGAUGUUGAGUGUGCUAAUUCCCAUUGAAUUCAGUGGAAGUUACGGGCCCACAACUUGUAAGAGGUGCUCUUGCUGGAUCUGGCCCCACAGAAGGGAGGGAAAGUCUGGAGUAUCAAUUUAAAAAGUCUGAUUUACAGUCCUGGGCUUCAAUCCUUCCCUUGUUGAAGACUGUGGUAGUAUCACCAUUCUCUUCAAUGGGUGCAGGAUUGGACACAUGGAACUUUGAAAUUUCACUUGACCUAUAUGAGGGGAGUGUCUUAUUCAGUGGCAUUCAUCCUGCAGGGUAGAUGGAAUUUUAAGUCACAAAAGCUGUGUCAGUGUUAGCACAUGUACUAAUGGUUGCAAAUAAGUGCUUUAAGGUUAGGCAACCUGUCCAAAUAGGUGAGUUAUAAACAGGUACCUCACCAGUCAACUAAAAGGGAAAUGGAAGGAAUGCAUGCAUGGAAGCAAACUGUUCAAGAAAGGUAGAAAAGUUUCAUUUGUACUGCAGUGUUAGUGCUUACCAGUGGUAUGAAGUUUAGGGGUAUUUACUCCAUCUGUAGUGUUUUAGUGCUAUACUUAAUGCCAACAUUCACCUGCUUGGACAUAUCACUUCUAUUUUACAAUCUUUACAAUGACCCAGUAAAAUUCUGUUUUGAUUUUAAGGUUUUACCACUUAGUUUUAAGGCAGUCAGUAGUCAUAGCCUAAUGUGCCUGAUAGAUCUUUUGUCACCAUAUGUUCCUGCACAUUCACUGAGGUCAACUGGAGCAGGUAAUUAAUCUCUUUGAGCUUAAGUCCUUGGGAAUUAGGAACCUUUGUAUCGUGCCCAAUGAUUGCAGAAUUCUCACUGUUUGGACUUUUAUUUGCUGUUGCUUUAGACCUUUUUAAAAUAAGCACUGACGUGUGUUAAAUAUUUGAUUGUAAAGCACCCUGCAGCUCUUGGGUGAGGUGAAGGAGAUUGUGCAGUUGCACCUCGCUUUGUUGUAGCAGUCAUUAAAUGUGGUGGUAUGUUAUACAU